GGCCUCGUAGCUCAGCUGGUACAGCGUGCGCUCUACGGAAGCUUAGGUGGAUUCCAUGCAUGGGUUCGAAUCCUACCGAGGCUU
rnacentral:tRNA from 1 species